GACGAACGCUGGCGGCGUGCUUAACACAUGCAAGUCGAGCGGUAAGGCCCUUUCGGGGGUACACGAGCGGCGAACGGGUGAGUAACACGUGGGUGACCUGCCCUCAGCUCUGGGAUAAGCCCGGGAAACUGGGUCUAAUACUGGAUAUGACUCCACGGUGCAUGCCGUGGGGUGGAAAGCCUUGUGCGGCUGAGGAUGGGCCCGCGGCCUAUCAGCUUGUUGGUGGGGUGAUGGCCUACCAAGGCGACGACGGGUAGCCGGCCUGAGAGGGCGACCGGCCACACUGGGACUGAGACACGGCCCAGACUCCUACGGGAGGCAGCAGGUGGGGAAUCUUGCGCAAUGGGCGAAAGCCUGACGCAGCGACGCCGCGUGA
rnacentral:rRNA from 1 species